GGAGUGGAACUGACCCCACCCGUGACUUUCCGGCUGCGAAGCGGCUCCGGUCCCGUCUAUGUCAGCGGCCAGCACGUGUCCCGUGAGUGUCCCCUGAGUGUCCCCAACUCCCCUCGGGUGUCCCGUGAGUGUCCCCUGAGUGUCCCCAACUCCCCUUGAGUGUCCCGUGAGUGUCCCCUGAGUGUCCCCAACCCUCCCCCGAGUGUCCUGUGAGUCUCCCCCGAGUGUCCCUGUCCCUCCUCGGGUGUCCCCUGAGUGUCCCCCGAGUGUCCCCAACCCUCCCCCGAGUGUCCUGUGAGUCUCCCCGUUCCCCCUCGGGUGUCCCCGAGGUCCGGGGGCUCAGCCGGGCUCUCCCGCCCGCAGUGACAAACUUCAGCUCGGAGGAUGAGGAAGAGGAAGUAGUAGAGGAGACCCCCGAGAAGCCCCCCAAGGCCUCGAGUGCCCGGAAAGGCGGCGCUGCCAAGAAAAGGAAGCUGGAAAAGGAGGAUGAGCUGGGCGCGGGGCCGGCCGGGGAAGGAAAGCAGCACCGAAGAAAUAAUGGGAAUUCCAUCGGAACCGGGCCAGGUGAGCAUUGGCAUGAGCAAUCCCGGAGCUCGGAGAGCCCUGGGGGGCGGCUCCGUCCCCACCGCGGGUUCUCCAGGCCUUCCCUGCGGGUAAAUCCCAUUUUUCCCUCCUUCCCUUCCAGGUGCGGCCGAGGCUGGAGCAGCAGCAGCAGCCGGUGGUGGUGGUGGUGUGGUUCCCAAAUAAAGCACAUUUUGCACUCCUGGCUCCCCGCGCUGCUGCCGGGGGGGAUUUGGGGGCACCCCCCACCCCGGCUGGAGCUGCUGCCCUGGAUUUGGGGGGGCCAGCGCUGCCCCCCGGCCGUGGGGUGCCGUGAGAAGGGC
rnacentral:lncRNA from 1 species